CAAACACACACACACACACACAAAGAAGGUAGGCAUGCAGGAAAGUCAAGCGAUGGACUAAGUUCGUUUCGUCUUUCUGUUCUUUCCAUCCUUCUUUCUUUUUUCCCCUCCGUCGUGUUCUCAUUUUUUUUUUUUCUGUCUUUUGCUUCUUUGACAAACCAGACCACCCACAGUGAAAGUUGAGAACCAGUGAAUAAGAUGA
rnacentral:ribozyme from 11 species